UACGGAGGGUGCAAGCGUUGUCCGGAUUUAUUGGGUUUAAAGGGUGCGUAGGCGGUUAAUUAAGUCAGUGGUGAAAUCCUGGAGCUCAACUUCAGAACUGCCAUUGAUACUGGUUGACUUGAGUACAGACGAGGUUGGCGGAAUUGAUGGUGUAGCGGUGAAAUGCAUAGAUACCAUCAAGAACACCGAUUGCGAAGGCAGCUAACUAGACUGUAACUGACGCUGAGGCACGAAAGUGUGGGGAUCAAACAGG
rnacentral:rRNA from 1 species